GGGCGUUAAGUUGCAGGGUAUAGACCCGAAACCCGGUGAUCUAGCCAUGGGCAGGUUGAAGGUUGGGUAACACUAACUGGAGGACCGAACCGACUAAUGUUGAAAAAUUAGCGGAUGACCUGUGGCUGGGGGUGAAAGGCCAAUCAAACCGGGAGAUAGCUGGUUCUCCCCGAAAGCUAUUUAGGUAGCGCCUCGUGAAUUCAUCUCCGGGGGUAGAGCACUGUUUCGGCUAGGGGGCCAUCCCGGCUUACCAACCCGAUGCAAACUGCGAAUACCGGAGAAUGUUAUCACGGGAGACACACGGCGGGUGCUAACGUCCGUCGUGAAGAGGGAAACAACCCAGACCGCCAGCUAAGGUCCCAAAGUCAUGGUUAAGUGGGAAACGAUGUGGGAAGGCCCAGACAGCCAGGAUGUUGGCUUAGAAGCAGCCAUCAUUUAAAGAAAGCGUAAUAGCUCACUGGUCGAGUCGGCCUGCGCGGAAGAUGUAACGGGGCUAAACCAUGCACCGAAGCUGCGGCAGCGACGCUGAUGCGUUGUUGGGUAGGGGAGCGUUCUGUAAGCCUGCGAAGGUGGCCUGUGAGGGUUGCUGGAGGUAUCAGAAGUGCGAAUGCUGACAUAAGUAACGAUAAAGCGGGUGAAAAGCCCGCUCGCCGGAAGACCAAGGGUUCCUGUCCAACGUUAAUCGGGGCAGGGUGAGUCGACCCCUAAGGCGAGGCCGAAAGGCGUAGUCGAUGGGAAACGGGUUAAUAUUCCCGUACUUGGUGUUACUGCGAAGGGGGGACGGAGAAGGCUAUGUUGGCCGGGCGACGGUUGUCCCGGUUUAAGCGUGUAGGUGUGUGUUCCAGGUAAAUCCGGUUCACUUUAACACUGAGGCGUGAUGACGAGGCACUACGGUGCUGAAGCAACAAAUGCCCUGCUUCCAGGAAAAGCCUCUAAGCAUCAGGUAACAUCAAAUCGUACCCCAAACCGACACAGGUGGUCAGGUAGAGAAUACCAAGGCGCUUGAGAGAACUCGGGUGAAGGAACUAGGCAAAAUGGUGCCGUAACUUCGGGAGAAGGCACGCUGACACGUAGGUGAAGUGAUUUACUCAUGGAGCUGAAGUCAGUCGAAGAUACCAGCUGGCUGCAACUGUUUAUUAAAAACACAGCACUGUGCAAACACGAAAGUGGACGUAUACGGUGUGACGCCUGCCCGGUGCCGGAAGGUUAAUUGAUGGGGUCAGCGCAAGCGAAGCUCCUGAUCGAAGCCCCGGUAAACGGCGGCCGUAACUAUAACGGUCCUAAGGUAGCGAAAUUCCUUGUCGGGUAAGUUCCGACCUGCACGAAUGGCGUAAUGAUGGCCAGGCUGUCUCCACCCGAGACUCAGUGAAAUUGAACUCGCUGUGAAGAUGCAGUGUACCCGCGGCAAGACGGAAAGACCCCGUGAACCUUUACUAUAGCUUGACACUGAACAUUGAGCCUUGAUGUGUAGGAUAGGUGGGAGGCUUUGAAGUGUGGACGCCAGUCUGCAUGGAGCCGGCCUUGAAAUACCACCCUUUAAUGUUUGAUGUUCUAACGUGGACCCGUGAUCCGGGUUGCGGACAGUGUCUGGUGGGUAGUUUGACUGGGGCGGUCUCCUCCUAAAGAGUAACGGAGGAGCACGAAGGUUGGCUAAUCCUGGUCGGACAUCAGGAGGUUAGUGCAAUGGCAUAAGCCAGCUUGACUGCGAGCGUGACGGCGCGAGCAGGUGCGAAAGCAGGUCAUAGUGAUCCGGUGGUUCUGAAUGGAAGGGCCAUCGCUCAACGGAUAAAAGGUACUCCGGGGAUAACAGGCUGAUACCGCCCAAGAGUUCAUAUCGACGGCGGUGUUUGGCACCUCGAUGUCGGCUCAUCACAUCCUGGGGCUGAAGUAGGUCCCAAGGGUAUGGCUGUUCGCCAUUUAAAGUGGUACGCGAGCUGGGUUUAGAACGUCGUGAGACAGUUCGGUCCCUAUCUGCCGUGGGCGCUGGAGAACUGAGGGGGGCUGCUCCUAGUACGAGAGGACCGGAGUGGACGCAUCACUGGUGUUCGGGUUGUCAUGCCAAUGGCACUGCCCGGUAGCUAAAUGCGGAAGAGAUAAGUGCUGAAAGCAUCUAAGCACGAAACUUGCCCCGAGAUGAGUUCUCCCUGAGACUUAGAGUCUCCUGAAGGAACGUUGAAGACGACGACGUUGACAGGCCGGGUGUGUAAGCGCAGCGAUGCGUUGAGCUAACCGGUACUAAUGAACCG
rnacentral:rRNA from 1 species